CAGCAGCCGCGGUAAUACAGAGGGUGCGAGCGUUAAUCGGAUUUACUGGGCGUAAAGCGUGCGUAGGCGGCUUCUUAAGUCGGAUGUGAAAUUUCUGAGCUUAACUUAGGAAUUGCAUUCGAUACUGGGAAGCUAGAGUAUGGGAGAGGAUGGUAGAAUUCCAGGUGUAGCGGUGAAAUGCGUAGAGAUCUGGAGGAAUACCGAUGGCGAAGGCAGCCAUCUGGCCUAAUACUGACGCUGAGGUACGAAAGCAUGGGGAGCAAACAGGAUUAGAUACCCCAGUAGUCCCUGUCUCUUAUAC
rnacentral:rRNA from 1 species